rnacentral:lncRNA from 1 species
GUUUGGAUUUGACCAGCUUUGCAGUGUCUGACACAAUUUCAAAACAUCAGUUUCGUCUCGCUUCAUUCGAGUUUUUCUGAGUUCUUUUUGGGCGGAUGUUUCAAGGUUAACCAUCCCUACCAAAUGUCGACAUUUUAAGGAUAUUAAAGCUCUUUCAUGUGCAUUUAGCAACCAAUGUUUAUCAGAAUCUUUAUUUAAACUGAAACCAACAAAGCCAUUUUUUUGGUGUCUCUAAAAAACCUAAGAAAGUAAAAAGUAUUACCAAAUCCCACAACUGA